rnacentral:rRNA from 1 species
UACGGAGGGUGCGAGCGUUGUCCGGAAUCACUGGGCGUAAAGGGCGCGUAGGCGGCGCGGAAAGUCAACGGUGAAAGCUUGGGGCUCAACCCCGAGUCGGCCGUCGAUACUUCCGUGCUCGAGCACUGUAGAGGCAGGUGGAAUUCCGGGUGUAGCGGUGGAAUGCGUAGAGAUCCGGAAGAACACCGGUGGCGAAGGCG